rnacentral:snoRNA from 1 species
UCUUGGUGAUGAGAAAAAUUUUUUCAGUUCUGCUUCUGCAAAUAUAUUGAAGAUAACAAAAUACCUUACCAAAAACUCCUGAUCU